UACGUAGGGUGCAAGCGUUGUCCGGAAUUAUUGGGCGUAAAGAGCUCGUAGGCGGUUUGUCGCGUCUGCUGUGAAAACUCGGGGCUUAACCCCGGGCCUGCAGUGGGUACGGGCAGACUAGAGUGCGGUAGGGGAGACUGGAAUCCCUGGUGUAGCGGUGAAAUGCGCAGAUAUCAGGAGGAACACCGGUGGCGAAGGCGGGUCUCUGGGCCGUAACUGACGCUGAGGAGCGAAAGCAUGGGGAGCGAACAGG
rnacentral:rRNA from 1 species